UGGGGAGCAAACAGGAUUAGAUACCCUGGUAGUCACGCCGUAAACGAUGUCUACUUGAAGGUUGUGGCCUUGAGCCGUGGCUUUCGGAGCUAACGCGUUAAGUAGACCGCCUGGGGAGUACGGUCGCAAGAUUAAAACUCAAAUGAAUUGACGGGGGCCCGCACAAGCGGUGGAGCAUGUGGUUUAAUUCGAUGCAACGCGAAGAACCUUACCUACUCUUGACAUCCAGAGAAGUUACCAGAGAUGGUUUCGUGCCUUCGGGAACUCUGAGACAGGUGCUGCAUGGCUGUCGUCAGCUCGUGUUGUGAAAUGUUGGGUUAAGUCCCGCAACGAGCGCAACCCUUAUCCUUGUUUGCCAGCACGUAAUGGUGGGAACUCCAGGGAGACUGCCGGUGAUAAACCGGAGGAAGGUGGGGACGACGUCAAGUCAUCAUGGCCCUUACGAGUAGGGCUACACACGUGCUACAAUGGCGUAUACAGAGGGCUGCCAACCAGCGAUGGUGAGCGAAUCCCACAAAGUACGUCGUAGUCCGGAUCGGAGUCUGCAACUCGACUCCGUGAAGUCGGAAUCGCUAGUAAUCGUGAAUCAGAAUGUCACGGUGAAUACGUUCCCGGGCCUUGUACACACCGCCCGUCACACCAUGGGAGUGGGCUGCACCAGAAGUAGAUAGCUUAACCUUCGGGAGGGCGUUUACCACGGUGUGGUUCAUGACUGGGGUGAAGUCGUAACAAGGUAACCGUA
rnacentral:rRNA from 1 species